GUAUUUAGCCAUUACAGCUUGUCAAAGCCUGAUAUCGUCAGAUCUCAGAGGCUAAGCAAGGCUGGGCCUGGUUAGUACUUGGAUGGGAGACCUAUGGGAAUAUGAGGUGCCACAACG
rnacentral:rRNA from 1 species